UACGUAGGGUGCAAGCGUUAAUCGGAAUUACUGGGCGUAAAGCGUGCGCAGGCGGUUGUGCAAGACAGAUGUGAAAUCCCCGGGCUCAACCUGGGAACUGCAUUUGUGACUGCACGGCUGGAGUGCGGCAGAGGGGGAUGGAAUUCCGCGUGUAGCAGUGAAAUGCGUAGAUAUGCGGAGGAACACCGAUGGCGAAGGCAAUCCCCUGGGCCUGCACUGACGCUCAUGCACGAAAGCGUGGGGGGCAAACAGG
rnacentral:rRNA from 1 species